GGCGAACGCUGGCGGCGUGCUUAACACAUGCAAGUCGAACGGAAAGGCCCUGCUUGCAGGGUACUCGAGUGGCGAACGGGUGAGUAACACGUGGGUGAUCUGCCCUGCACUUCGGGAUAAGCCUGGGAAACUGGGUCUAAUACCGGAUAGGAGCCAUUUUUAGUGUGAUGGUUGGAAAGUUUUUUCGGUGUAGGAUGAGCUCGCGGCCUAUCAGCUUGUUGGUGGGGUAAUGGCCUACCAAGGCGGCGACGGGUAGCCGGCCUGAGAGGGUGGACGGCCACAUUGGGACUGAGAUACGGCCCAGACUCCUACGGGAGGCAGCAGUGGGGAAUAUUGCACAAUGGGCGCAAGCCUGAUGCAGCGACGCCGCGUGGGGGAUGACGGCCUUCGGGUUGUAAACUCCUUUCGCUAGGGACGAAGCUUUUUGUGACGGUACCUAGAUAAGAAGCACCGGCUAACUACGU
rnacentral:rRNA from 1 species